CUACGUGCCAGCAGCCGCGGUAAUACGUAGGUCCCGAGCGUUGUCCGGAUUUAUUGGGCGUAAAGCGAGCGCAGGCGGUUAGAUAAGUCUGAAGUUAAAGGCUGUGGCUUAACCAUAGUACGCUUUGGAAACUGUUUAACUUGAGUGCAAGAGGGGAGAGUGGAAUUCCAUGUGUAGCGGUGAAAUGCGUAGAUAUAUGGAGGAACACCGGUGGCGAAAGCGGCUCUCUGGCUUGUAACUGACGCUGAGGCUCGAAAGCGUGGGGAGCAAACAGGAUUAGAUACCCUGGUAGUCCACGCUGUAAACGAUGUCGAUUUGGGGGUUGAACUUUAGGUUUGGCGCCCGUAGCUAACGUGAUAAAUCGACCGCCUGGGGAGUACGGCCGCAAGGUUAAAACUCAAAUGAAUUGACGGGGGCCUGCACAAGCGGUGGAGCAUGUGGUUUAAUUCGAUGCAACGCGAAGAACCUUACCUACUCUUGACAUCCAGAGAACAUUC
rnacentral:rRNA from 1 species